rnacentral:misc_RNA from 1 species
GUUUAAACUUUAUUCAUGGACAACCGACAUUCAUUACAAAUUCUCGCGUCAAAAAUGACAAUGCACAAGUGUUUGAAAUAGGAUAAGAGGCCGGUCGAAACCGGAUAUCCUCUAAUGUCACUAAUGAUCCUUCCGCAGGUUCACCUACGGAAA